rnacentral:rRNA from 1 species
GACAGAGGUGCCGAGCGUUAGGCGGAAUCACUGGGCUUAAAGCGUGUGUAGGCGGGGCCGUAAGUACCUUGUGAAAUCCCAUGGCUCAACCAUGGAACUGCUUGGUAUACUGCGGAUCUUGAGCCACCUAGGGGCAAGUGGAACAAACGGUGGAGCGGUGAAAUGCGUAGAUAUCGUUUGGAACGCCAAUGGUGAAAACAACUUGCUGGGGGUGUGCUGACGCUGAGACACGAAAGCCAGGGGAGCAAACGGG